CCUUUGAAAUACGGACACAGCUCAUUUUUGCCAGCUGAGACAAGUGGAGCAACGUGAAAUAAAGUGCCAUGCUCAAGGACACCACGAGUCUCUGGGAACUGAACUCACGACUUUACGAUCGUGAGCCGAAUACCCUUGCCACUAAGCCACGCGCCUUCACUAUAUCUAUACACUCAUCUAUUCACAUUGUUUCG